rnacentral:rRNA from 1 species
GCGCUCUGGGAUAGCCACCGGAAACGGUGAUUAAUACCGGAUAGGACCACUUCACGCAUGUGAUGGUGGUGGAAAGUUUUUUCGGCGCAGGAUGUGCUCGCGGCCUAUCAGCUUGUUGGUGAGGUAACGGCUCACCAAGGCUUUGACGGGUAACCGGCCUGAGAGGGUGACCGGUCACACUGGGACUGAGACACGGCCCAGACUCCUACGGGAGGCAGCAGUGGGGAAUAUUGGACAAUGGGCGGAAGCCUGAUCCAGCAACGCCGCGUGAGGGAUGACGGCCUUCGGGUUGUAAACCUCUUUCAGUACCGACGAAGCGAAAGUGACGGUAGGUACAGAAGAAGGACCGGCCAACUACGUGCCAGCAGCCGCGGUAAUACGUAGGGUCCGAGCGUUGUCCGGAAUUAUUGGGCGUAAAGGGCUCGUAGGCGGUUUGUCGCGUCGGGAGUGAAAACACCGGGCUUAACUCGGUGCUUGCUUUCGAUACGGGCAGACUAGAGGUAUGCAGGGGAGAAUGGAAUUCCUGGUGUAGCGGUGAAAUGCGCAGAUAUCAGGAGGAACACCGGUGGCGAAGCCGGUUCUCUGGGCAUUAC